rnacentral:rRNA from 1 species
AACGAACGCUGGCGGCAGGCUUAACACAUGCAAGUCGAACGAGAUCUUCGGAUCUAGUGGCAGACGGGUGAGGAACACGUGGGAACAUCCCUUUCAGUUCGGAAUAACGUUGGGAAACUAACGCUAAUACCGGAUACGGCCUUCGGGAGAAAGAUUUAUCGCUGAAAGAUUGGCCCGCGUCUGAUUAGCUAGUUGGUGAGGUAAUAGCGCACCAAGGCUACGAUCAGUAGCUGAGAUGCGAGGAUGACCAGCCACAUUGGGACUGGGACACGGCCCAAAGUCCUACGGGAGGCAACAGUGGGGAAUAUUGGACAAUGGGCGCAAGCCUGAUCCAGCCAUUCCGCGUGAGUGAUGACGGCCUUCGGGUUGUAAAGCGCUUUUGUCCGGGAAGAUAAUGACUGUACCGGAAGAAUAAGCCCCGGCAAACUUCGUGCCAGCCGCCGCUGUAA